CACACUCAUCACCACCGUCGUGACGACGACAACAACGAACAACAUUAUCCACCACCUGGUCACAACAAUUUAUCUUCCUUCAACCAACCACCACCACCACCACAUCAUCAACAACCACCUUUCUACCCUAACCCAUCAUACCCACCACCACCACAACAACAACCACAUCAACCCGAAACUCAAGUCUUCCACACCGGGCACGUGUCCCGUAAUGACAAUUUCAACAAUUACCCUCAACAACCACAACCUCACCAAGAAACUCAAGUGUUCCACACUGGACACGUGUCCCAUGAAAACUUCAACAGUUACCCUCAACCACCACCACCUCAAUCUCAUCAUCAACAACCCAGCUACGGCGCUGCGUACCCACCUGCACCACCAUCCGUACCGGAUCACACCUCCGCCCCAUUCCCAAACGCAACUGUUCACCAUGUUUCUCAUGAAACCCAUAACCCUCAUUUUCCUUCUUCCAACG
rnacentral:lncRNA from 1 species